UUUCAAUUUUUUUGGUUAUCC
ensembl:piRNA 21ur-14045 ncRNA